CCUGAGAGCGCGCAACCCCGGGCUGUCGGAAUGAACCUAUCCCCGAAAGCCCGGGCGGGCAGCGCGCGGAACCAGGAUAAAGGGACAGAGAAGAAACCCGCCACUCAUGCUGAUUGUUUCGACAAGGUCCUUAGAUUUCCAGUACUCCUGGAUUCAGAUGGAAAUCAGAUACUGAGGCUUAUGCCCGAAACGUCGAUUCUCCUGCUCCUCAAAUGCUGCCUGACCUGCUGUGCUUUUCC